rnacentral:misc_RNA from 1 species
AUCACUUAAUGGAACAGGUUAGAAUGUACCAGCUAGGAUAUAUAAUUGCACUUUCUUGCUUUCGAUUGUCAGAUCAUCUGUUAUUUUGAUAUUUCAUAUGGGAUAUGGUCUUUAUACUUAAUGAUGGUUUUUGGCAUUCUUUGAAGUUCUGAUAGCCUCACAAUUGCAUUAGUCAUGACGGUGUCAAGAAGCUCAUCUUGGUGAUCACUCCUUCCACCCUCCAAUAGACCCAUUAGUUAUAUCAACCUGAUUUGUUCUCUAAUUUCCUAGAUUGUCAAACAUUGGCAAUAUCACAUAUGACGAACUAAACUAAGAUUUUCCUUACUAUUAAAAGCAUGGUCAUAAAAUGUUUGGAUUUCACAUAUGAUGUUAGCAUGGAAGAUUAUGGAAGGAAGCAAAUUGGAUUAAAGGUUUUAUUUAGCAUUUGCAAUUGCAAAGGCUUUAAAAUAGUACUUUUCUUUUAGGCUGCUCAGCUUUAUUUUCGAGGACAACGUAUAUGGUCAGCUGCUAUGGAGAAACUAAUGGCUGAAGGAAUGCAAAAUGCCACUCAGGUUCUUCUUUCAGGAUGCUCUGCUGGAGGACUGGCAUCCAUAAUACACUGUGAUGAGUUCAGGAACUUAUUUCCACAAUCAACAAAAGUGAAAUGCUUAAGUGAUGCUGGACUGUUUCUUGACGUGUGAGAAACAAUUCUUUAUAUGCCUUUUAUGAUUUCAAUUGGUGCUUAUAGUUGACUUGUCAUAUAUGCAUGUGAUUCUCAUUUUUACUUUAAAUCUGCUGUAGAAUUGAUGUGUCUGGUAACCGCACGCUAUGGAAGAUGUAUGAAGGUGUAGUGAGUUUGCAGGUGGAGCUACCUUCUUGCUUGUGAAAAAUUAUUCUCAUCUAUAGUAUUUUGGUAUAAUCUUUAAUAGAAACUGAACCCUCUGAUCUGAGGUUUUACAAUGAUGUAUCAAUAUGUUGCAGUACUCUCUCUCUAACUCUUACAGGUUUUUAACAACUUUCUGCUCAGCAUUUAGCCAUCAAUUAAAUAUUGACAUCCAUAUGAAUUUUUAGGAAGUGCAAAAGAAUCUGGCAAGUACUUGCACCAGCCACCUGGAUCCAACUUCGUGCUUCUUCCCCCAGAAUUUGAUUGCAAAUAUUAGGACUCCAUUAUUUAUUCUCAAUGCAGCCUAUGAUGCAUGGCAGCUCCAAGCUAGUAUAGCUCCAAAAUCAGCUGAUCCUCAGGGUUCUUGGAAUGAAUGCAAGCAAAAUAAUGCAGAAUGUACUUCAGUGCAGAUCCAGAUUUUGCAAGGCUUCAGGAAUCAAAUGCUGGAAGCCAUAAAUGUCUUCUCAAUGUCAACUCAAAAUGGGUUAUUCAUAAAUUCUUGCUUUGCUCAUUGCCAAUCUGAGACACAAGAUACAUGGUUUGCUGAUGAUUCUCCCCUCCUCAAUAACAAGAGGAUUGCUCAAUCUGUUGGAGACUGGUAUUUUGAUCAAGUUGAUGUUAAAGCUAUUGACUGUGCAUACCCCUGUGACAACACUUGCCAUAAUCUAGUUUUCAAUGAUUUUACAUCAACUAUGUCAUUCUCCCAGUCCUCAAGAUUAACCUUUACCACGCUAAAUCUGCUCAGUUCCAUCUUGAUGUCAUUAACAUGUUCCAAAAGCACCAUGGGGUUUCAGUUUGAUCAAUGACACUUGAUUAAAACAUCGAGAAGUCUAUAGAGUUGCAACUACAGGUGGAUCAUCUUGCUUACAAGUAACAAACAUGUGAAAUACAUAAUUUAAGGCUCAUUUUUCAGCAACCAUUGUAUCCUGUCUUUCUUGUGUCACUUGUUGCAAGUGCCAGAGUAUUCUAGUAUGUAUCAAAUUGCCACAGUUAUCAUCACAUGAAACUGAACAGAAAACAAUGAGCUAUUUGUUGGAGGUCGAGAAUCAGUUUGGUAUACAUUUUCACUCUUAUAUCUUUACGUGCUGUAAUCAACUACACUGUUUUUUUGCAAUUUUUUAGAAUUUCUUUAAAAUCAUAGGAUUAUAUCUGUAUGUGAAAAUAGGUGGAUGGUUCUCACCUGUCUCACCAACAACGCAUUUUUUUUGCAUGAUGCUGGCAUUCAUUUACCUGACCUAACUAUAAAC